GGGGAUGACUGGUUUCGACUAGGGACGGUAGUCCCAGGAGAAGCGGGCCGAGGAUUCAAGGUUAUCUCGCUAACGCUCCUUGAAAACCAAUAAGUGCCAACAAUGCACGUACUGACUUCGCUCUCGCUGCCUGAUCAGUGACCGAAGGGUCAGCCCACGGGUGCCUUCCCCGUGGUACCUGGCCUCAUUAAGAAGGCUCACCGCCUAGUCCUCGUUCUAGGGACUCCGCGGGAAACUCAUAGAACUGGGCUCGUCCACAGCUCGCUGGCGUGACUGUGGGAGCCAAGCAGAACAACAGCCAGCUGCGCCCGGAGAAUGCCUGGUACGCCUCUCAAGGACGGGGGUUCGAUUCCCCCCAUCUCCACUC
rnacentral:tmRNA from 1 species